CUUUGCAUCCUUCGCCGCUGGUUGGAAAUGCAGUUUUGGACCCCCUCCUCCCCCGCCAGGGCUCCCACCCAACCGGAAUCUGCAUUUUAACCGGACACCCAGGCGAUUCCUGUGCACAUUAAGUGUGAGACGACCUGGGUCUUGCUCUGUCACCCAGGCUGGAGCACAGUGGCACAAUCAUGCUUCACUGCAGCCUCGACCUCCCAGGCUCAAGCAGUUCUCCCACCUCAGUCUCCUGAGUAGCUGGAAUACAGGAAAGAAAAUGAAGUGGUUGAAAACAAAGUUAGAGCUGAAGAGUUAAGUUUCUGGUGCCUGCGUUGGAGAGUUUUGCUGAUUGAUCCUGUCAUUUUUAAACAAUAUAUGCUACCAAAAAAGAAAGUCUUCUAAGCCCCAGGGUCCAGUGCUGGUGAGAGGCCACGUGGCAAAUGCAAAGUGCCUAGAGUGUAAAGUAGCAGAAGGCUGCCUUAAAACCCCAGCUUCCCCACGUACACUGUGAGCCUGGCCAAGUUCCCUGAGAUCUCUGAACCUCAGUUCCUCGUUCGUUACAUGACGGAAAUCGUGUUGACCUCAUAGGGUUUACUGUGAGAAUUGAAUGAGAGACGGGGUUUCACUACGUUGCCCAGGUUGGUCUGGAACUCCAGGACUCACUCAAUCUUCUAGCCUCGGCCUCCCAAGGUGCUGGGAUUACAGGCGUGAGCCACCGUGCCUACUCGAAUGAGGUAAUUCUUGACAAAAUAAAUGUGUGGCUAGUACAUCUUAACAUGCUUUUCUUGCUGUACUUGUCUCUGUAGCAAGUGCUGGCUGUGCAUUAGCUUUCUUGUCCCCUUCACCCCUUUGGUAGUGGAGCCUGGAGAGAAUUUACUUGGGAACUCAAGUGUGCCAGCAAAGGAGACACAAUUGAUGAGGGUACUAAGCACACUGUUUGGGUGAUGAUGUUUUUCAAAACAAUAUCAUUAGAUCUUCACAUACAGAGCUGGGAGAUAACAUAGUCCCUAUGACAGAUGUUAGACUAGGACCCCAAAUGACCUCGUAUGGUGUGCCAGUGUCUUCUUCAUUUGCUCCAAGGACACAGCAUGAAUAGAAUAGGCUUUGCCAUCAGCAAGGGCCCUCUCCUAGUUUUUCCCUAGCAUUUCAGAUGCUUGGCACCUGUAACCGGAUUUUCCCUGCACUGAGAGUCAGUGUGUCUUGAUGAAAUGAGCACUGGUUUGGAGUCAGAAGACCUGGGCUGGUAUCAUGCCCCUGCAGCUUAGUUGACAUGUGUUUGGAUGAGUCACUUCUCUGAACAUAUCUUUAUCAUCUAUAAAAUAGGCAUCCUAAUAAUAUUUCCUAAACACUUAUUCUGACAAGGUUUUAUGAGGACCAGAAGAAAUAAGGAAAGGCAAAGCUUUGUAAAUCGGAGAUGCCUCACCAGCACUAUCAUUCCUGUGACUUCCGAUCACCAAGGAGAAGGGACCAGCUUUUAGCACACAGAGCCUGGGAUGGUAGAAUGCCAGACAUUUCACAGUCCAUUGGGGGUGAUCUAUGGCAGAUGGUGUUCCUAGCACCUUUUUCAAAUUGGCUUUACUGAUCUAAUCACAUUAUGGAGGCAGCCACUUGCUCAGCCAGAAAGGCAACAUUAAUACUCAAGACAAUGCUGACUCAGUUACAGGCUUAAGCAUGCUUAGCAAUUAUAGCUGUUACUUAUUGAGUCUUUCAAAGGUGGCAUACAUGGUGCCAAGCACUUGACAUGCAUUAUUUCAUAGCCAGGACUGCCAUGUGAACAAUUUCAGUGUGUAUGAAUGUUCUCUGGAGUUGUGCAGUGCCCAGUAUGCUUGACUGUUCAUGGAAGUCCUGCUCACAGAAACCCUAUGAGGUAUAUUUGCAUGGGCUUGUUGAGGAAUCUUGGUUAUCUAAUUUAUGGAAGAGAAAAUAGGAGAUUUGGAGUAAUUAACAUUUUCAUAGCCAUAAUACCAAUGGGUAGUAGAGUCAGAAUUCUAAAGCCUCUGCUUUUAUUACUAUGCUAUGUAUUAUUUCAUGGGUUUAAUGAAAUUGGCAAUGUCUUUGAGCCAAAGACCACGAGGAGCACACCUGUAGUUGAACAAGUUGGGCUUAUUACUCCUCGCAGUGAGGAAGAACACAUACCACAAAUAAUUUGUCUAAGAUUUGUGCUUGGGUUAGGUGAUCUUGGGGAAGGCUUAUGGAAGCAGAGCUUUGCUCUGGAUUUGAUGCUGCUAGGAAGCAGAGACUGGGUAUUUUAAUAACUUCACUAGGCAGGGCAGACUGCUAAACAGCUAAAGCUAUUAAUGGCAAAGAAGCAAUAGUCAUAUAUUAACUAGGAGAAGGGGAUGUUUGGCAUUUUGUGUCUUGGACAAUGUCCGUUAACUGUUCAAACAUGAUUAUGAGGGAUUUUGUUUUUGUCUUGAUCCAUUGUGGUUGCAGAGUGGACUUGUCUGAUGUUCAUGUUCUAAGAAAUCGUGCGUUUGAAAGGAGAACGCUAAUGGCUAGCUGUAUCAGGCUAGCCCCUGAUGGUUUUCUAUCUCUCAGGAUAAAAGGACUGGAGGGCACUGGGGUAUACACCUGUUAAGUGCGUUCAGCUGUGUAGCUCAAAAGUGAUGCUCACCGUUCUGUGAUAAAAGAGGCAAUAGAAUAUGCAGAUGCCAUGUGGAGUCAUCACAUUUUACUAAAUAAGAAACACUAAAUGAGAAUCAGAAAUAGCUGGUUGUAGGAAUUUUAAAAAUAGGUUUUGUUUUGUUUUGUUUUGAGACAGAGUCUCACUCUAUUGCCGAGGCUGGAGUGCAAUGGCGUGGUCUUGGCUCACUGCAACCUCUGCCUGCCAGGUUCAAGCAAUGCUCCUGCCUCAGCCUCCCGAGUAGCUGGGACUACAGGCAUGUGCUACGACAUCUGGCUAAUUUUUGUAUUUUUAGUAGAGAUGGGGUUUCACCAUGUUGGCCAGGCUGAUUUUAAACUCCUGACCUUGUGAUCCGCCCACCUCCCAAAGUGCUGGGAUUACAGGCGUGAGCCACCACGCCCAGCUAAAAAAUAGUUUUUUUUACAGCUUAGUAUAACUCAUACUUUUUCUCACAGCACAAUUGUCUGGUCCAGACGGCAGUUCCUAUGUUAAGGUGCUAUUUAACCGUUUUUGAAUGAUUCAAGUCAGCCUUGAUGAGUGAAGAUAGUAUAAUAUGGUGGUAAACAUAUAUGUUUGGCAAUGAAAGACAUGGGAUUGAGAUCCAUCCAUGACAUAAGGAGCUUCUGCGGAUGAAGAAAAUGUAUGGGAAUUCUGUAGCAACUUGAGGUUAGAAGGUCAAGCAUCUAUGACACAUCCAUACAGAGAGGUUGAUGGAACGAGAACUGUUAAGAUGCACAUUCUUGUGAUGCAUAAGGAGAGACAUAAUGAUUUUUACAGCACAAUCAUCAUGAAAGAUAAAAUAUAAGUUGAAGAAAUGGAAGCCAUCUGAGCAAGGAGCUACCCUAUUGCGGCAGGGAUUGGGGAUGAGAUAGUGAGAAAUUCAGCUUUUAGUUUAUUUUUAGAGAUGAUGUGCCCAAUAAACCAUGGGCUUAAUUUAUCUGUGGCUUCAAGAUAGUUUGUCUUAGGGAAGUGAAGGCAGGUGAACAUCAGCCAUAAAAUAAAUUAAGUGAAUUAAAUAAAGUUCCCAAGUGCUUCUAAAUGUGGCAGCCAGACAGGAACAUAUUUAGCUAGGGCCACACUCUAAAACAGUUGUCUGGUCUGCCCACUCGAAACACCAAAUCCUUACUGCAAUUGUCAGCAGUCACCUUGAUCUAAAAUAUAACAAUAGUUAGUUUUUUUUAACUUAGAACUUUAGAAAUAUGACAAAAGAUUUCAUAGAAUAAGUUAAACAAAAGGUAGUUCACAGACUGGGAGAAGACGUUUGCGAUGUUUAAAACUGACAAAGCAUUAGUAUACGGAAUAUAAAAAUUCUAGACAAUUCAGCAAAAAAGGCACAGAAACUUCUAUAAAAAUGGACAGUUGAAGACCAGGAAUUUCAAAGAAGAACAAAUAUUAAUUUGCUAACAAGUGUAGAAAGAAAGAUCUACCUCCUUUGUAAUCAUUUUAUAGCAAAUUGAAAUGGUAAGAUACUAUUCAACAUAUAUAAGUCAGGCAAAAAUGGACAAAUUGCACAAUACAAAGAGUGGAUAAGGAUGUAGGGAAACAGGAAUCACUUCUGGUUGGAAUGGAUAAGUGUAUCCAUUAGUAGGAAUUGAUACAGUCAUUUACAAGAUGCUUGGGGCAGGACUUACUGAACGUAAGUUAAUAUAUAAUUUAAGAUUCAGAAAUCCCACUUCUGGGUAUUUGCCACGGAGAAACUCACAGGUUUCUAUAUGUGAAUCCAUAUAAGACUGUUUAUGUAGGUGGGACAACCUAAUCAUCCAUCACUAGCGAUAUGGUUUGACUCUGUGUCCCUAAUGACACCUUAAAUUGUACUAAUCCCCAUGUGUCAAGGGAGGGACCUGGUGGGAGGUAAUUGAAUCACGGGAGUGGAUUUUUCCCAUGCUGUUCUUACGGUAGUGACUAAGUCUCAUGAGAUCUGAUGGCUUUAUAAAGGGCAGUUCCCCUACACAAGCUCUGUCUUGCCUGCUGCCAUGUAAGACAGGACUUUGCUCCUCCUUCAUUUUCCACCAUGAUGGUGAGGACUCCCCACCCAUGCGGAAGUUCAUUGAACCUCUUUCCUUUAUAAACUACCCAGUCUUGGGUGUGUUUUUAUUAGAAGAAUGAGAACAGAUUAAUACAACUAGUGGGAUGGAUAAGUGAAAAGAGGAUAAUGCA
rnacentral:lncRNA from 1 species